UCGUGGGUUCGAAUCCCAGUCCGAUCGGGUUUUUUAGCUUCUGGAAACGGGUUGGGGGCUCGAAAGGGUGGUUGGGCUUCGGAUCCCGACUGGGCCCUUAUUCACGACGCGAUGUGAAACGGAUUUCAGUGUGAAUGUGACUUGAUUCACGGAUCUCAGACGGGAACGCAAACUUUCGUAUACGUAUCCCGAUAUUCACCUGUGAAUCGACUUCGUUGACGGAAGUCACAGGUGAACAGGGAAUUUCACUCACACGUCCCAAAACAUUGCGGUGGUAAAAAAUAGUCAAUGAUCCAAAAAUCAUUUCAAUGAUCAAAAUGAGUGCAAAUGACAAGUCAGGAAAAGUUAAGAAAGAGGUCAAAGUGGAAGGUGAUAACAAACGGGCCGAUAAUAUUAAUGAGCGACAAAAAGAAAUGUUAUUAGAUUUAGCUGCCGAGAAUCCAGAAAUAAUCAGCGGAAAAUUCAAAACUGAUAAAGUCACAAAAGAAAAUGUCAACAAAAAAUGGGACUUCUCCGUUCUCAAUGCAGUCCCUGGUGGUGCACAGAAGACUAGAGAUCAGUGGAAAAGGAAGGGUUGGACAAUCAUGAGAAGGUUAUCUUGGAGGAGGUCAACAAUGAAAACUCAGUGGAAAUCCAAACAGCCGAUCCUACUUUCGAUGAAACGUUGGAUACCGACCCCUCGAUACCAAACAAAGAAUCAUCCAUUCCAGGAAUUGAUCUUGUGCAACUGGAGACAAAGUUCACAAGUCCAAAACAUGAUGAUUCACUGCUGAAGACUAUCUCUUCAGUCCCGAAAGUCGAACACUCACUGCCAGAGACAGGGUCCCAACCAUUAUAGGGACUCAACUGUUAGAAUCGACGAAUAAUGACCCUGCCCUCGGGGGUGCGAAAAGAAAAGCCUCUCCACACCUUGUCCCUGAUUCCUACCAAAGACGCGAAAACCUAGCCUUUCCCAGUAAGAAGCGAUCUAGGGCAGUUCAGCGACAGGACGCAUCCCUAAGAAACUCCGAGAAUAUCAUCACUAUUUCGAAUAAAGAUUUGGAAGAGAAAAAGAGCUAUAAUGAUGAAAAACUGUUUAUCCUUGUAAGAGAGGCCCGGGGCAAGAUCUAUCAAACGCACAUUGUGAGAAACCUUAGCAACAAGCUCACUUAUUAUCCAUGGUGAUUGUCCUCAAAUUUUCUUGUUCUCUUUUUUUAUGAUGCGUUUUUUUCUUUUUACUAUGAUCGAUUAUUUGUCCACUAGCCCAGUGAUAAUCCAGCAUCAGAGAAUUUUUAGAUUUUUAUUAAUUGAUUAUGUACGUCGGAGGAAGAUGGAUGCAAGGAAAAAUAAUAAGAGAAUUUGAUAGAAAAAUCCAAGCAAUCCGCUAAACAAAUUCUAUUGCAUUUCUAUUUAGUUUUUUUCCAGUUUUUGGUGAUGUAAUUGAAAUAUUCCGCAGCUUUCAGCUUUUAGCUUGUUUUCAAUAGAAAUAUUCAAUGAAAAAUUUUUCAUAGAAAAUAUUAAUAGUAGUCGAUUUUCUGUAAAACCCAUCCUGUUGAAAUAUUCUUAAUAGAAAUUUCUCAAUACAAGUUUCCAAAGUUCUUUCAUUCGAUUUUAUUCAAUAUAAAAGAAUAGGAUGCUCGGACUGAUGUAAAAAUAUGAAGAAAUGAUUUUUUAAGUAUCAUUCACAAGUUGUAUUUCUGAUAUUGGAAAAAAAAAGAAUAAAGUUACCAAAUACAUCUGAA